UAGCUCAGUGGGUAGAGCAUGAGACUCUUAAUCUCAGGGUCAUGGGUUCAGGCCCCAU
rnacentral:tRNA from 1 species